ensembl:lncRNA
UUACUAUACUAGAUACAAGUUCAUUUAGGCUAUUUAACAUGCACUGUGACAUUUUCACUCGUUUCAACUUAUAAACUUCUUGAGAUUUUAAAGUCAGUUUAAUAGUAUUGAGAUUCAAGUUGAAUCUAGCAUAAAAAAAAGCGCUUUAAACUGCUUAAAUUAUUUCUAUGAAUUAAAGUAGCCUAACUUAAAAAUAUGUUAUCAUGACUUUUCAUCAUAUCGUUUUUUACAGUGUGAUAACAAGCUAUAUUCGUUUUCCAUUUCGGAAACCAAGCACACACUUUUUUCUUUUGUAAAUCUAUGAUUCGCUUGUAUAUCUCCUCCAACUGAGGUUGGUGGGGUUUUUUUUUUUUUAUGGAAGGUCCCACUGUCAGGGGAGUCAAAAGAUAAUUACAUUAUCAUUAGGCUUGCCAAUUAACUUCAGCAAUUGAAUAUAAGGGCUAAUUGUGAUACUUUCUCUUUUAUUCUUUAAGAAAAUUGUGUUUAUUGUUGUAGGAAAAAAGUUUUUAUUCUUUAAGGAAAUAAGGGACAGAAUAAGGGACGAUUCAAAUAUUUGUAAUGUACAAUAAUGUAAGCCUAUAUCUGCCUGCUGUUAAAAAGUAAUCAGAAAUAAUCAUAUUUGUUUUGCUUCACCCAUUUAUGUACAAUUAUUCCAAAAAAACAAAUUGAUAUCAUACAAAAUAUUCCAUCGGCUGGAGUAAAUUUUACCAUUAUAGAAUUGUGGCUUUACAAGGGUAGUAAUUUAGGAGGUGAAAUUAAUGUGAAAUUACAAAUGGCAAGGAAUUUUAAAGCAUAACAAGUGAAGGUCUAUGAAACGUUAGUCAAUAAAGCAAUUUUUUUAAACAAUGCCACAAAGUUUUGAACUACAGUAUUAUUUCAACCAUCAAAACUUGCGGACGGUGAACCUGGGUCAGACACCAGAAGCAAACUCUCAGUGUUCUUUCAUUGAAAAGUAUGCAUUUUGUUUAUUCACAGGCUAUAUGGUUGAAAUAAUAUUUUAGUUCAAAACUUUAAGUGCCAUUGUUUAAAAAAAAUGCUUUAUUGGGUAACGUUUCAUAGACCU